rnacentral:lncRNA from 1 species
UGCAUUACACCACAUCCGUGACCGUGACACAAACACCCAACAAACAUACUGUAAUGACAACUUAUACUUGUCAUUACACCACAACCGUGAAGCAGAAGCUGUCAUCACAUCUGCUUCAAUAGUGCAUUACACCACAUCUGCUUCAAUAGUACACACUGUGACCUGCAAUAACAAACAACAACAUUAAUUAUCUACAGCAUGAGAAGAACAACAAAGAACACACAAGCAAACAACUUAAUUAAACAGAAGCAGAGAAACAGAAACAACAAAGAACACACAAGCAAACAACUUAAUUAAAACAGA